AGCCACACCCACACAAGCUGUCGCCAGCCAUGCUAUACACAUUCGACCAGUACAAGAAGUCAUCUGUGCUUAACUGGACGCUAUUCCUCCAGAGUCCACGGUGAAGUAUGAAGUUCCUCCUGCUUCUGGCGUGUGUGCUGACUGCCUAUCUGUCUGUACCCGUGAGAGGGCAAGAUCGGUUGCUUCCUGAUGAUAACCUGUCCACGUCUGAUAUAAGCAAUUCACACAAAUGCAUGUACAUUUGCAACAUCUGCGCUGAUGAUGUGGAGAAGUGUGCCAACACACAUUGCACAGAGGUUGUUGACCCAGCUGGGAUUGCCAAGGUGGUUUCCGUGUGCCGAGACCUCGAUACGUUGGUGAUGUGCGUCUAAGAUUCAGAUAUACCUACGUAGAGGUAUGCUGGUGACGUCGCCCCUCCUCACACAAGUACGCUUAUUUAUCACAGUCAUUAUAUGUGUCCAAAACAGAAAUAAAUCAUUUCUAAAGGAA